GACGAACGCUGGCGGCGUGCUUAACACAUGCAAGUCGAACGGAAAGGCCCUGCUUUUGUGGGGUGCUCGAGUGGCGAACGGGUGAGUAACACGUGAGUAACCUGCCCCUGACUUUGGGAUAACUUCAGGAAACUGGGGCUAAUACCGGAUAGGAGCUCCUGCUGCAUGGUGGGGGUUGGAAAGUUUCGGCGGUUGGGGAUGGACUCGCGGCUUAUCAGCUUGGUGGUGGGGUAGUGGCUUACCAAGGCUUUGACGGGUAGCCGGGCUGAGAGGGUGAGCGGCCACAUUGGGACUGGAAUGCGGCCCAGACUCCUACGGGAGGCGGGAGUGGGGAAUAGUGCACAAGGGGCGGAAGCCUGAUGCAGCAACGCCGCGUGCGGGAUGACGGCCAUCGCGUUGUAAUCCGCUUUCGCCUGUGACGAAGCGUGAGUGACGGUAAUGGGUAAAGAAGCACCGGCUAACUACGUG
rnacentral:rRNA from 1 species